CUUGUUCUAAAAAAAUUAAUUACUAGCAAGUAUCUUCACCAAAAUGUCCACACAUAAUAUAAAAUAAUAAUAUACUUUAAUCACUUAUACUAAUCGGGUGACCCAUCGGGCAACCCAUGGGUAGAACAUUAUGCCCAUACCCUACCCAUGACUAAUCGGGUUACCCAUCGGGCUUACCCAUGAAUGAAUAUGGCGACCCAUACCCUGCCCAUUCGGAUCGGGUGUCCAUGGGCGCGGCCGCCCAUGGGUCGAAUUGCCGGGUUGACACAGGAGGAUUGCAUUAAACCAGAAAAAAAUCAUUCUUUGCCACGGAUACGGAGAACAAUUCUGAAGAAAUACAAAAUAAUUUUUUGAGUAAUAAUGAUGUACUCUCAUUCAACAUUCUGGUGAGCAAACUGCAAACACUUGUAUUCUGUAGCGCAUGUGGCUGCUGGCCCCGAGGCUUCAUUCACCUAACAUAGAACAACACAUCCAGUUCAAGAUUAACUAUCGAUGCAGGCCUUAAUAAACAAGAGCAACAAUACACACAUGUACUGUUUGCAUGUCUAACCACAAACCAAGACUAACAUGUAUUGUUUGCUUAGUCUGGGAUGGACUGCCAAAAUUUUACAAAGGCACUUAACUACGUUGAGUGCACACAUGAUUUUUGGGUAUUUCCUCAAGAUUGUGCACAAUAAAGCAUACAGAUUGAAAAGAACAGAAAAGUUGAACUGAAAACCAAAAUAAAUGGCCCCGGGUUCCCCAUAUAGCAACUAAAACGUCAGUACAACUACACCUUUUAUUGCUGCACUACUACUUAUACAAGGUAAAUCCAUAGUAAAAAAAUGAACUAACAUACUUGUACUUAAUAUCUUUGUGCAUGUCCAUGGCGGCAGUGCACAACGGUCGAGCAUGUAGCUCCUGUGCUGGAAGCAAUUGCCCUUAGUGGUGGCCGCUAUCGUAGUUUGCGAGUGAACUAGGAACAAAAUAAAAUAGCUACAAAAAUUGAAGAAUGAAGUACGCGGGGUCAGGUUGGACUAAAGGAGCAAAGCACUAGUGAUAAUAAUAAUAAGGCAGUCGAGCAUCUAGUUUUGGCGCACCCAAUAAUAGUUGAACUGAGAUGGUCAACUAGUUGUAGAGUUGAGAUGAUCAACAACUCUGUACUGAUCAUCAAACCGAUAUUGCAGCAGAUUGUACUGUCUCUAUGGUUCAUUAUGUAUUGUUGAGAUAAAUACACAUUGAACUUCUACACCAAAAGCAAAUUCACUAAUAAAUAACACAAUCUUUUGAGCAAUAUAACAAGUGUUGCAUGAAAUACAUCAAAUGCUGAGAGCAAUCUAACAAGUGUCACAUGGAAAUGGAAGAAAGUGCAAGAAGUACUAAAGCAAGGAAUACGUUUGAAUUAACCAGGAAGACGACAUCACACAACAAUCGUAGUAAUUGAACUGCUAGUCUUUUUGUCGAAUCAGGCACUGAAGAACUGUUGUUGGCCAUAUAGAAAAUAUACCAAAGGAGAAAUCGGACAUGUGGCGGCGCCGGUGCAGCACGGCGUCCUCGGCAGAGAAGCAGCACUCCAGCACCUCAACACGCGAACACCCGUCGGCUCCGGCGACUUUCGCCCACAGGAU
rnacentral:lncRNA from 1 species